rnacentral:rRNA from 1 species
CAAGUCGAACGGGAUUUUUUAUGUAGUAAUACAUAAAAAGUCUAGUGGCGAACGGGUGCGUAACACGUGAGCAAUCUGCCGGGAAGUGGGGGAUAGCUCGCCGAAAGGCGAAUUAAUACCGCAUAUGGCCAGAGAGGACAUCCUCUCGACGCCAAAGUCGCAAGACGCUUCCUGAUGAGCUCGCGGCCUAUCAGCUUGUUGGUGAGGUAAUGGCUCACCAAGGCUAUGACGGGUAGCUGGUCUGAGAGGACGACCAGCCACACUGGAACUGAGACACGGUCCAGACACCUACGGGUGGCAGCAGUCGAGAAUUUUUCACAAUGGGGGAAACCCUGAUGGAGCGACGCCGCGUGGAGGAUGAAGGUCUUCGGAUUGUAAACUCCUGUCAUGCGAGAACAAGAAAGUGAUAGUAUCGCAAGAGGAAGAGACGGCUAACUCUGUGCCAGCAGCCGCGGUAAUACAGAGGUCUCAAGCGUUGUUCGGAUUCAUUGGGCGUAAAGGGUGCGUAGGCGGCGUGGUAAGUUGAGUGUGAAAUCCUAGGGCUUAACCUUAGAACUGCACUCAAUACUGCCAUGCUUGAGGAAUGUAGAGGAGAGUGGAAUUCACGGUGUAGCAGUGAAAUGCGUAGAUAUCGUGAGGAAGACCAGUUGCGAAGGCGACUCUCUGGGCAUUUCCUGACGCUGAGGCACGAAGGCCAGGGGAGCAAACGGGAUUAGAUACCCCGGUAGUCCUGGCAGUAAACGGUGCACGUUUGGUGUGGGCGGGUUCAGACCCCGUCCGUGCCGGAGCUAACGCGUUAAACGUGCCGCCUGGGAAGUACGGUCGCAAGAUUAUACUCAAAGAAAUUGACGG